GAAGGUAUUCAAUGGUACAGGAUGGCACGAGCGUCAACGGUCUUGAAAACCGUUGAGCCUUCACCGGUUCCGGGGGUUCGAAUCCCUCUCCCUCCGCCA
rnacentral:tRNA from 1 species